rnacentral:rRNA from 1 species
UACAGAGGUCUCAAGCGUUUGUUCGGAUUCAUUGGGCGUAAAGGGUGCGUAGGCGGCGCGGUAAGUCGGGUGUGAAAUCUCGGGGCUUAACUCCGAAACUGCAUUCGAUACUGCCGUGCUUGAGGACUGGAGAGGAGACUGGAAUUUACGGUGUAGCGGUGAAAUGCGCAGAUAUCGGGAAGAACACCCGUGGCGAAGGCGGCUCUCUGGGACGGUACUGACGCUGAGACGCGAAAGCGUGGGGAGCGAACAGG